rnacentral:misc_RNA from 1 species
AACGCACAUUGCGCCCUUUGGUAUUCCGAAGGGCAUGCCUGUUCGAGCGUCAUUAUCACAGCUCAAACCCUGGGUUUGGUGUUGGACCGACGUUGGGUCGACCAACUGGUCUGAAAGACAAUGACGGCGUCCGUGGGACCCUCAGUGCAACGAGCUUUCACAAGCACGCAUUGAGUUGCAAGGACCCUCCGGGCCGGUCUACUGUAACAUUUUCUUAAAGUUGACCUCGGAUCAGGUAGGAAUACCCGCUGAACUUAA